rnacentral:rRNA from 1 species
CUGGAGGUAUCAGAAGUGCGAAUGCUGACAUAAGUAACGAUAAAGCGGGUGAAAAGCCCGCUCGCCGGAAGACCAAGGGUUCCUGUCCAACGUUAAUCGGGGCAGGGUGAGUCGACCCCUAAGGCGAGGCCGAAAGGCGUAGUCGAUGGGAAACAGGUUAAUAUUCCUGUACUUGGUGUUACUGCGAAGGGGGGACGGAGAAGGCUAUGUUGGCCGGGCGACGGUUGUCCCGGUUUAAGCGUGUAGGCUGGUUUUCCAGGCAAAUCCGGAAAAUCAAGGCUGAGGCGUGAUGACGAGGCACUACGGUGCUGAAGCAACAAAUGCCCUGCUUCCAGGAAAAGCCUCUAAGCAUCAGGUAACAUCAAAUCGUACCCCAAACCGACACAGGUGGUCAGGUAGAGAAUACCAAGGCGCUUGAGAGAACUCGGGUGAAGGAACUAGGCAAAAUGGUGCCGUAACUUCGGGAGAAGGCACGCUGAUAUGUAGGUGAAGCGACUUGCUCGUGGAGCUGAAAUCAGUCGAAGAUACCAGCUGGCUGCAACUGUUUAUUAAAAACACAGCACUGUGCAAACACGAAAGUGGACGUAUACGGUGUGACGCCUGCCCGGUGCCGGAAGGUUAAUUGAUGGGGUCAGCGCAAGCGAAGCUCUUGAUCGA